rnacentral:rRNA from 1 species
UACGUAGGGGGGCAAGCGUUGUUCGGAAUUACUGGGCGUAAAGGGCGCGUAGGCGGCACAGCAAGUCGGGAGUGAAAGCCCGGGGCUCAACCCCGGAAUGGCUUUCGAAACUGCUGAGCUAGAGUACAGAAGGGGCAACCGGAAUUCCCAGUGUAGCGGUGAAAUGCGUAGAUAUUGGGAAGAACACCUGAGGCGAAGGCGGGUUGCUGGGCUGAUACUGACGCUGAGGCGCGAAAGCCAGGGGAGCAAACGGG